GGAAAAUAAAGAGAUAUAUAAGAAGAAAUUGGUAUAUGUAUGAGAUGAAAGAGAAAGUGAGAAUAUAUUUUAGGAUUUUGAGAUGUGAUGAAAUUUGAGUGUUAAAAAAUAGUUGCUUUGAAAUUUGAUUGUAUGAGAUUAAUUUGAAGUGAGAUUGGCACAUGGUGAGAAUAGAGAGAGGGGAAAGGAAUCCAUCGAGGUGAAGAUGGUGUGGAACAGCAUGGUGGUGUUGAGAGUGGCACGUGCCUCAGCGGAAGCGUGGCAAUGCAUUGCGGAGCCUCUGAACAGUGAGCAGAUAUUGGAUCUGGUUUGCUGUUUCCCUCUCCAUCAACUCGCUCUCUUUCUCUAUUCCUUCUUCUGCACUCCUCAAUCCAAUUUUUACCAUUUCCCUUCUCACUCCGACUCUGACCAUGACGAUUCUUCCGAUUACCAAUCCUCUUCAGACUGAAACCAAACCAAACUCAAUAGGAAUUUGCCUGCUAAUUAUCUCCAUGAAGUGAUGUAUUGAUAGACUUUGGGUGAAUAAGAUGACACCGAGGACUUUAGUAGUGUUCAAGCUAUCUCCAUUGUAUAAAAGCAUCUUUUACACUUAGAUUUUUGUAGUUGAUUGAUUGAUCUCUCCACAUUUUAUACCCUUGUAAAGAGUGAUUUGUGAGUGGUAAUAUAAUUUUAAACUGCCCUUGAAAGGGAGUGUUGUUAUAUAACUUACUUCAAAACUGAACUUUGUAUGCUAUAUAGUAUAUACCUUCAAUGAUCACAUAUUUGGGGAAACCA